rnacentral:rRNA from 1 species
CGAACGGGUGAGUAACACGUGAGCAAUCUGCCCUUCACUUUGGGAUAACUUCCGGAAACGGAAGCUAAUACCGAAUACGACCAUCGCGGACAUCCGCUGAUGGUGGAAAGUUCCGGCGGUGAAGGAUGAGCUCGCGGCCUAUCAGCUUGUUGGUGAGGUAACGGCCCACCAAGGCGACGACGGGUAGCCGGCCUGAGAGGGUGACCGGCCACACUGGGACUGAGACACGGCCCAG